UUGCUUUAGUAGACUAAUGUAGAACUCACCAAUAGGUCUGAUUGCUUUAGUAGACUAAUGUAGAACUCACCAAUAGGUCUGAUUGCUUUAGUAGACUAAUGUAGAACUCACCAAUAGGUCUGAUUGCUUUAGUAGACUAAUGUAGAACUCACCAAUAGGUCUGAUUGCUUUAGUAGACUAAUGUAGAACUCACCAAUAGGUCUGAUUGCUUUAGUAGACUAAUGUAGAACUCACAAAUAGGUCUGAUUGCUUUAGUAGACUAAUGUAGAACUCACCAAUAGGUCUGAUUGCUUUAGUAGACUAAUGUAGAACUCACCAAUAGGUCUGAUUGCUUUAGUAGACUAAUGUAGAAUUCACAAAUAGGUCUGAUUGCUUUAGUAGACUAAUGUAGAACUCACCAAUAGGUCUGAUUGCUUUAGUAGACUAAUGUAGAACUCACCAAUAGGUCUGAUUGCUUUAGUAGACUAAUGUAGAACUCAUCAAUAGGUCUGAUUGCUUUAGUAGACUAAUGUAGAACUCACCAAUAGGUCUGAUUGCUUUAGUAGACUAUUGUGGAACUCACCAAUAGGUCUGAUUGCUUUAGUAGACUAAUGUAGAACUCACCAAUAGGUCUGAUUGCUUUAGUAGACUAAUGUAGAACUCACCAAUAGGUCUGAUUGCUUUAGUAGACUAAUGUAGAACUCAUCAAUAGGUCUGAUUGCUUUAGUAGACUAAUGUAGAACUCACCAAUAGGUCUGAUUGCUUUAGUAGACUAAUGUAGAACUCACCAAUAGGUCUGAUUGCUUUAGUAGACUAAUGUAGAACUCACAAAUAGGUCUGAUUGCUUUAGUAGACUAAUGUAGAACUCACAAAUAGGUCUGAUUGCUUUAGUAGACUAAUGUAGAACUCACCAAUAGGUCUGAUUGCUUUAGUAGACUAAUGUAGAACUCACCAAUAGGUCUGAUUGCUUUAGUAGACUAAUGUAGAACUCAUCAAUAGGUCUGAUUGCUUUAGUAGACUAAUGUAGAACUCACCAAUAGGUCUGAUUGCUUUAGUAGACUAAUGUAGAACUCACCAAUAGGUCUGAUUGCUUUAGUAGACUAAUGUAGAACUCACCAAUAGGUCUGAUUGCUUUAGUAGACUAAUGUAGAACUCACAAUAGGUCUGAUUGCUUUAGUAGACUAAUGUAGAACUCACAAAUAGGUCUGAUUGCUUUAGUAGACUAAUGUAGAACUCACCAAUAGGUCUGAUUGCUUUAGUAGACUAAUGUAGAACUCACC